UACAGAGGUCUCAAGCGUUGUUCGGAUUCAUUGGGCGUAAAGGGUGCGUAGGUGGCGUGGUAAGUCGGGGGUGAAAUUUCGGAGCUUAACUCCGAAACUGCAUUCGAUACUGCCGUGCUUGAGGACUGGAGAGGAGACUGGAGUUUACGGUGUAGCAGUGAAAUGCGUAGAGAUCGUAAGGAAGACCAGUGGCGAAGGCGGGUCUCUGGACAGUUCCUGACACUGAGGCACGAAGGCCAGGGGAGCAAACGGG
rnacentral:rRNA from 1 species